rnacentral:sRNA from 1 species
AUAUCAAUAAGCGGAGGAAAAGAAACCAACAGGGAUUGCCCUAGUAACGGCGAGUGAAGCGGCAACAGCUCAAAUUUGAAAUCUGGCUCUUUCAGGGUCCGAGUUGUAAUUUGCAGAGGGCGCUUUGGCGUUGGCAGCGGUCCAAGUUCUUUGGAACAGGACGUCACAGAGGGUGAGAAUCCCGUACGUGGUCGCUAACCUUCGCCGUGUAAAGCCCCUUCGACGAGUCGAGUUGUUUGGGAAUGCAGCUCUAAAUGGGAGGUAAAUUUCUUCUAAAGCUAAAUACUGGCCAGAGACCGAUAGCGCACAAGUAGAGUGAUCGAAAGAUGAAAAGCACUUUGGAAAGAGAGUCAAAUAGCACGUGAAAUUGUUGAAAGGGAAGCGCUUGCAGCCAGACUUGCCUGUAGUUGCUUAUCCGGACUUUUGUCCGGUGCACUCUUCUGCAGGCAGGCCAGCAUCAGUUUGGGCGGUUGGAUAAAGGUCUCUAUCACGUACCUCCCUUCGGGGUUGGCCUUAUAGGGGAGACGUCAUGCAACCAGCCUGGACUGAGGUCCGCGCAUCUGCUAGGAUGCUGGCGUAAUGGCUGUAAGCGGCCCGUCUUGAAACACGGACCAAGGAGUCUAACAUCUAUGCGAGUGUUUGGGUGUCAAGCCCAGACGCGUAAUGAAAGUGAACGGAGGUGGGAACCUUUUAGGUGCACCAUCGACCGAUCCUGAUGUCUUCGGAUGGAUUUGAGUAAGAGCAUGGCUGUUGGGACCCGAAAGAUGGUGAACUAUGCUUGAAUAGGGUGAAGCCAGAGGAAACUCUGGUGGAGGCUCGCAGCGGUUCUGACGUGCAAAUCGAUCGUCAAAUUUGGGCAUAGG